rnacentral:rRNA from 1 species
GCUGGCGGCGUGCCUAAUACAUGCAAGUCGAGCGAACAGAUAAGGAGCUUGCUCCUUUGACGUUAGCGGCGGACGGGUGAGUAACACGUGGGUAACCUACCUAUAAGACUGGAAUAACUCCGGGAAACCGGGGCUAAUGCCGGAUAACAUAUAGAACCGCAUGGUUCUAUAGUGAAAGAUGGUUUUGCUAUCACUUAUAGAUGGACCCGCGCCGUAUUAGCUAGUUGGUAAGGUAACGGCUUACCAAGGCGACGAUACGUAGCCGACCUGAGAGGGUGAUCGGCCACACUGGAACUGAGACACGGUCCAGACUCCUACGGGAGGCAGCAGUAGGGAAUCUUCCGCAAUGGGCGAAAGCCUGACGGAGCAACGCCGCGUGAGUGAUGAAGGGUUUCGGCUCGUAAAACUCUGUUAUUAGGGAAGAACAUAUGUGUAAGUAACUGUGCACAUC